ACACCCAAUAUGGGGCUUAAACUCACAACCCCAAGAUAAGAGUUACAUGCUCCACUGACUGAGCCAGUCAGCUACUCCCUGAUUAAAGCUGUUUCUUAAACGACCAAGCCACCCAGGUGGCCCCCCCUUUUCUUAAUGUCUCUCCCACCUUGACUGUCAUCUCUGAGGACAGAGACCAUGUCUGCUUUUCAUUACUUUACCCUGGCACUUUGCACAGUCCUUGGCACACAUUAGGCACUUCAUGGAUAUUUCUUAAAUGAUGGGAACGGGGUUCUUGUUUGUUCUCAGCUGCAUCUCGCAUGCCCAGAGCACAGCUUAGCACACUGUAGGUUCUCAACCGCUAUUUACUGAAGGAAUGGAUGGGGUAUUUGCCUGGGAAUGACAUCCUUUGCUCAUAAAUAAUAGGUGACUGAUAAAACCUCAGAGGCGGAAGUGGUGUGGAUGAUGGGUUUUCUGAGAAACUCAACAGCUAACACCCACUGAGCUCAUUUAAGCCUCAGACACUAUGUGAGCUGCUUACCCUGCACCAUUUUAUCUCAGGAAUCCUAGAAGUGGACAUUUUUAUCUUCAGCGAGGGGCCUAUCAGGAACACACUUUUGACAGGAACAUUGCUGGAGCACCUAAGAUCACAGUGGGACCAGCCAAAAGAAUCUUGCAGGGAAGAGGAGCAUGUGCUGGCGGGACAUUACUUAGACCCCUGGAUGUACAGGACCAAGGCCACUGCCCAAUGUCAACUGUAGAAGUUCCCUUUAUCUACCACCGGAUGUCAUACAGGUCCAGGCCUUGGGGACCCCACACUUCUCAGCCUUGGUGAGCAUCAGCAUCCCUUGGGAGCUUGCCAGGGAGGCAUGUCCCCAGGCCCCCCCUCCUGAGGGCUAAAUGAGAAUCUCUAGGGGCAGGGCUGGAGAAUCUGCAUGUUUGUUUGUUUAUUUGUUUAAAGAUUGUAUUUAUUUAUUUAUUUAUUUGAGAGAGAGAGAGAGAGAAAGCACGAGAGUGAGGAGGGUCAGAGGGAGAAGCAGACUCCCUGCUGGGCAGGGAGCCCAAGGCAGCACUCUGGGAUUGUGACCUGAGCAGAAGGCAAAUGCUUAACUGACUGAGCCACCCAGGCGUCUGAGAAUCUGCAUGUGUAACAAGAUUCCCCAAGCUGGUACUGAUGUCGGCAGCCACAGGCCACACAUUGAGAAACUCCUCUAGGAGGGUAGGGAGCCAGUGCUCGGUGUUUAGAAUACAGGAAGUGAAGGCCCACCUCCACAUCAUAUUAAAUGCUCAUGGAAUUCAUCUUCAGUGAGAGGCUGAGGUCUGGGGUGGGGGAGUGGUGAAGAGACACAUCCAUUGGUGUUUUUACCUCUUCUCAGUGCCCUACAGCAAUCGUAACCCAAAGGUGUGACAAUUCAAGUGGGUUCAUCAUGCAAAUUUUUCUUCCCAUGUCCCAGUUGGUAUUAGGAUUCGCUUUUCCUGAAAGUGGCUUAUAAACCCAGAUUUCUGCUAGAGGCAUUGCCCUCCCCACCCCCGCCCCCAGUUUGGUCACUUAAACCUUCUAAAAAUGUAUCAAUGUCAGGCUCCAGUGACUAAUCCAUCCCAAAUGCAGGAAGGACAGGGGGUGAGGCAUAAUCCCCCCUAAUCCGGUUAUGUGCCACCCACCCCUCUCUAGUCUGCGUGACUGUCUUGGUAAACUUCGGUUUGUGACGCAGUGUGGAAGAAAUCCUUGAAGCAUAUGGAGUGCCAAGUAGGUAUUAAAUUCUGGCCCUUGGUUCCUCAAGAAAACUAGCAACUCAAAAGCAAGUCAAACUUGUCAGUGAGAUCCAGGACCAUUUCUGUGUGCCUGACAACUGAAG